UACAUGAUAACCACCAGUUGAGCCAG
rnacentral:piRNA from 1 species